UCCCGAAUAGCUCAACGGCAGAGCGGCCGGCUGUUAACCGGUAGGUUGUAGGUUCGAAUCCUACUUCGGGAGCCA
rnacentral:tRNA from 1 species